CUACGGGAUGCUCCAGGCGCGAAACCUUUACAAUGCACGAAAGUGUGAUAGGGGGAAUCAAAGUGCUCAUGUUUUCAUGGGCUUUUGUCAAGUCUAAAUUGCUUGACGAAUAAGUGGUGGGAAAGACUGGUGCCAGCCGCCGCGGUAACACCAGCGCCACAAGUGGGAACCGUUUUUAUUUGGUCUAAAGCGUCCGUAGCGGGUUUAGUAAAUUACUUGUGAAAUCGUACAGCUCAACUGUACGGACGGCAGGUAAGACUGCUAAACUAGAGAUCGGGAGACGUUGGAGGUAUUCGAGGGGGAGCGGUAAAAUGCGAGAAUCCUUCGAGGACCACCUGUUGCGAAGGCGUCCAACAAUAACGAGUCUGACCGUGAGGGACUAAAGCUAGGGGAGCGAACCGGAUUAGAUACCCCGGUAGUC
rnacentral:rRNA from 1 species